AAAAAAUGUGGUUGUAUAAUUUGCUAAAGUAAAAUAGAAAAAACAAGAAAAAUAAGAAAAAUAAUUUUAAUGGAUUAAUGUUAGUAAAAUUUAGGUAAAUCUAAUAAAAGGCUAUAGCGGAAAGUACUGUGAAGGAAAAAAUAAGUUAAAAAAGUUAGUAAGAUUAAAUUCCUGUACCUUUUGUAUAAGGGUAAAUUAAAAUAAUUUAAUUAAUAAUAAAAAUCUCGAAAUAAAGACAGUUAAUUUUAUAUAUGAGUUUUUGUAGAAACAAAAUUUAGAAUAUAAAAUUAAAGAUGAAAUAUCAGUCGAGCUUUAUGAUAUCUAGUUUCUUAAAUUUCAAAUUAAAUUUGAACUUUAUAAGAUAAAUUAUUUAUAAAGGAUUAAAGUAGGAGGGAUUAGCUUCUUAUUUAGGAUAAAAGAAAAGUUUAAGAAGGGUAUAAAUUAAAAACUAAGCUUAAAAGUAGCUAUGUUGAUAAAGUGUUUUAACUAAUUUUAUAAAAAAUAAUAUUUAGCUUAAACUUUUACAAAAAAUUAAGGAAUCAGUUAGACUCUAAAAAAUUGAGAUAAAAUAGUUUUAUAAGUAGAUAAGUAAAUAUAAAGAAAACAAGUUAAAUAAUACAUUUCUUUUAAAAUAGAAAAGAUAUUAUAAAGGAACUCGGCAAAAAGCUUUUUUGCCUGUUUAUCAAAAACAUGUCUGUUUGGAGAUAUAAAAAGUCUGACCUGCCCACUGAAUAAAUAAAUUGAAGGGCCGCAGUAUUUUAACUGUGCAAAGGUAGCAUAAUAGUUAGGUUUUUAAUUGGAAUCUUGAAUGAAUGGUUUGACAAAAAAAGCGCUGUCUCUAUAAUAAUGCUUGAAUUUAACUUUUAAGUGAAAAGGCUUAAAUAUAUUAAGAAGACGAUAAGACCCUAUAAAGCUUUAUAUGAAUAUUUUAUUAAAAAUAAAUUUACAUAUAAAAUUUUAAUGGAAUAAAAUUAUUAUAUUGGGGCGAUAAAGGUAUAAUUGUUAUUAACUGCUUAAAAAUCAAACAUUAAUAAUUGGAAAGUAGAGUAAUAGAUCCUUAGAUAAAGAUUUUAAGUUUAAGUUACUUUAGGGAUAACAGCGUUAUUUUUUUUGAGAGUACUUAUCGAAAAAAAAGUUUGCGACCUCGAUGUUGAAUUAAGAUUUCUU
rnacentral:rRNA from 1 species